UUUCCAAGUAGUAGCGAUGCGUUUAGGGAGUGGAUCGUCGUCGGAAGCUUCAACACGCGGAGGCCAAGCUUGAUGAUUCUUAUAACAGAGGAAUACAUGACGGUCGUAGGAUUCGACGGUGCCGGCGAGUUUUUCCGUGUACAUCUCGGGACGUGAGAAACCACUUUUGGCGACGUCAACGGUGGAGGAAGCCAUCGUAGCGAAGGGGAUGAGAAGAAAUUGAGAUUUGUUGUUGAAAUUGAAAUAAGAUAUUGAUGUUAUGAAACGAGUUGAGCUCAAAGUCAGAGAAAUAGAAUUGGAAUCACAAAGGCUAUGUUGCACAACUACGCGCCUAUUUUCACUAAGCUUUUGUUUUUCGUUUUGUUGAAGAUUGAAGUUUGAGGACGCGCUGGUGAAGGAUAAUGAGCGCGUGGGGAUGGUAGAUAUUGUUGAAGAAGAUACGAGCACGAAGCCAACCAACUGUCAAGCUCUUCCAUUGAAGUAGUCGGUCAACAUUAUCAUGUAAUGUUUAUUUUAUUUAUUUAAGUUAAUUCCUUACGUCUAAAAUGUAUCUCACGGCACUGAAUAUUAUUGUAUCAGUUGGUAACACGAUGAUUCUACCACGCUAUAA